CUGUCCUACCCACCAUCAGAUGGAAGCCCCCUCCACGGAAACCUGGGGGACACAAAGACUUCAGGAAAGAAGCAAAGGAUCAAUAGCACAGACGCGCUGCUCUUUCCACAGCUGAGCUCCCGGUAGAGACGACGAGAAGGUUCCUCUUCUGACUGAAAUCUCAUGGCCUUUCCCCGCAUCAUGUAGUGGGGCCGAUGUCAGCUUUGUGCCUCAUGAAUAUUUAAACCUUGCUACUAUUAAUAAUAGUAUGUGAAUAUUUAAGUAUCUAUCCAUCACUUUUUUCUCUUUUAUUUGAUUUAUAGUAUUGUGGAUUGUAUUACUUUAAACUAUGACCAGGACAUUAGAUAAACCAUUACCAUAUUGCUGUGACCACUGUGACUAAGACAAAACAUUAUUUACGUUUUACUAACAUUUCCCUCCAUGCAAUAAUUAAAUAUUCUUUUGGAAAGUAUACGUUGUAAAUUAAGUAUAUAAUCAUAAAGAAUAAAUGAAUAUCUUGCAACAUGCUGCAUACUGUUUUACCAACA